GGGGGAGUUGUCCAUAUGGUGAAGAAGCAAGGGGGAGCUCAAAUCAUGUACCAUAAAAGAACAAUCACGAAGUAAACACAGAGAUAGAGAUGUUAGGGGAGUUGUGCUUACCUGGGGGUGGGGUUGGAUGCAUCUUGUCGUGGGCUUCAUGAAUCACCAGAUCCAGUGCCAGCCAUGCUUGGAGUCGUCGGAUCCGGCAACGACUCUCCUCGUUGACCCGUCGUGGUUGGUGCCCGUUGUGGUCGAACAACGCCGGAGCAGGUCUCCCCAAUGCCCACGACAGUGGAUCCUUCUUCCGCCGGCGUGAUCUGGCGUCUCUCCUCGCCGGCCUCGUGGCAUAGCCUCGCCGUCGCCGGUCUUGUGUAUGUCUAGCCGUGCUAGGUGCCGCGGAAGCCGUAUCCGGUGCCGGACGUUGGUGGAGAAGCCAGACUUGUGGUGGCAAUAGCUAGGAGCAACCGGCAACGACGACCAAUGACCAGCAGGAACAAUCGAGAGAGAGG
rnacentral:rRNA from 1 species